AGCGUUGUCCGGAUUUAUUGGGCGUAAAGAGCUCGUAGGCGGUUUGUCGCGUCUGCGGUGAAAAUCCAGGGCUUAACCCUGGACCUGCAGUGGGUACGGGCAGACUAGAGUGCGGUAGGGGAGAUCGGAAUUCCUGGUGUAGCGGUGGAAUGCGCAGAUAUCAGGAGGAACACCGAUGGCGAAGGCAGUUCUCUGGGCCGUAACUGACGCUGAGGAGCGAAAGCGUGGGGAGCGAACAGG
rnacentral:rRNA from 1 species